CAGCGCUUGGCGGUGCCGGCCACGCUCCGCUGCUGCGGGAGGAGGCCGCGCCGGCUCCUGCUUGGUUGGACGGAGCUGCUGUGAGGACGAUGUAAGGAGAGUGUUUGUACGUGCCACCCAUUGGUGAAAGUUUCUCACAAGUCUGUGCCCGCUUCUGCUUCAUGCCCAGCAAAUACACGGGAGACUAUGUCUUUAAUCGAGAAGUAAAGGUUCUUCAUUUGAUCUGACUGAAAUAAAAACGCACGCGCGCCAGAAGUGCUUGGUGGGAUGCCGCCCAGCUCUGCCUGGCUCUGAAGUGGGAGCCCGUGCUGUGCAUGAGCACACGCUCUUUCCAGCAGCAUUCGGAGAUGAGUCUGUGGGGCACGAGGAAGCAGCUGCCAGAAAUCCCUCGCCCCGGUGGCUCUUCUGACUGUGAACUGGUGGCACAUUCGGGUGGUAGGAGCUGGACUGGGUACCUCUACCUCCCGCUGGCUGCGAGCUGCACGGGGAGGGCACACAGCCAAGCCCAGCUCCAGGACCGCCCUCCUGGCUGCAAGUGGCUGGUGCUGUGAAUGCUCCGAGGGUUUUGGCAACCUGGGAUGUUUCAAGAUAGCUAAAGCAGGGCAGGGGAAGUAGAAACCUCGCCCAGAGCCGUGUGUCUAUGUGGGGUAUGAAGUCUCAUCUGGUGGCAAACAGUUUGCCUCUGGAGAAGGUGUGGGACUGGGAUAUGAAUAGAUAGGCUGACAUCAUGCUUCUUCUUGUCUUGAUUUUCCUGUAGUUAUCUUUCCACUUUUUACCACUGCAACACCUGCAGUGUUCGGCUGAAAUCAUUUGUUAGUGAGCAUAUACAUAUUUUUCUUUCUUUGGUGUAUCUCAGAACUUUCCGACAAUUUCAAGGAGGCCAUUUUCCAGAAGAGCCCGUGUCCUUCCUCUCGACUUUCCUCACGUCUCUUGACAGAUUAUUUUCAUCUCACUAAAGCAGAAGCUCUUCUAACACUGAUGUUUAAAAGCAUCCCUGCUGGUUAUUUUUGCCUAGCAGUUUCUGUAUGAGCAACAGCAUCAUAUGAUUUUUGAAGAUGGCAAAGUAAUGCAGUCUGAAUCCCCAGGAUCCUUCUGUUGUGGGAUUGCAAAGAGUAGAAGGACAGCAGGAGCCAACCGCUACUCCAACAGUGCACCAUCAGCAAUAUCACACCAUCCAGGACUCCCUAAUUCCCAUUUGUCAGCUGAUUCACCAACUGGAAAACCAUGGAGUAAUCAGCAAGACUCACGCACCCUUCAGUAGUCCCAUAUGACGAGUGCAAAAGUC
ensembl:lncRNA